GACGAACGCUGGCGGCGUGCUUAACACAUGCAAGUCGAACGGAAAGGCCCUGCUUUUGUGGGGUGCUCGAGUGGCGAACGGGUGAGUAACACGUGAGUAACCUGCCCUUGACUUUGUGAUAACUUCAGGAAACUGGGGCUAAUACCGGAUAGGAGCUCCUGCUGCAUGGUGGGGGUUGGAAAGUUUCGGCUGUUGUGGAUGGACUCGCGGCUUACCAGCUUGUUGGUGUGGUAGUGGCUUACCAAGGCUUUGAGGGGUAGCCGGCCUGGGAGGGUGACCGGCCACAUUGGGACUGAGGUACGGCCCAGACUCCUACGGGAGGCAGCAGUGGGGAAUAUUGCAGAGUGGGCGGAAGCCUGUGGAAGAAACGCCGCGUGCGGGAUGACGGCCUUCGAGUUGUAAACCGCUUUCGCCUGUGACGAAGCGUGAGUGACGGUAAUGGGUAAAGAAGCACCGGCUAACUACGUG
rnacentral:rRNA from 1 species